CAGCAUGAAAAGGUGCAACGGUGCACAGCAGUGCCAGGGAUUGGGGACUGUAAUGCCGAUCAUCAUAGAGCAAUAAUAAUGGGCAGGGAUCAAGGGGCGCCAGCGUUUAGCCAGCUGGGCUUUCCGUGUACGAAAAUCGGGAUGUGAGUGGAAUCUCGUCCUUCAGACCUCCAUGGUCCAGGCACAGACUUCUGGAACUGGAAGUCAAUGUUGGGAAUGGUGUGACUGUGUGGCUGCACAGCUUAGAGGGAACAUCACUCCAUUAGGAUCUCUGAG